rnacentral:rRNA from 1 species
GAAUUGCAGAAUUAGUGGAAUCAUCGAAUCUUUGAACGCACCUUGCGCCCUUUGGCUAUUCCGAAGGGCAUGCCUGUUUGAGUAUCAUG